rnacentral:rRNA from 1 species
UACGAAGGGGGCUAGCGUUGCUCGGAAUCACUGGGCGUAAAGGGUGCGUAGGCGGGUUUUUAAGUCAGGGGUGAAAUCCUGGAGCUCAACUCCAGAACUGCCUUUGAUACUGGCGGUCUUGAGUGUGGAAGAGGUUGGUGGAACUCCGAGUGUAGAGGUGAAAUUCGUAGAUAUUCGGAAGAACACCAGUGGCGAAGGCGGCCAACUGGUCCACUACUGACGCUGAGGUGCGAAAGCGUGGGGAGCAAACAGG